rfam:Cavia porcellus supercont2_27 genomic scaffold, whole genome shotgun sequence.
GGGGAUUUAGCUCAGCGGCAUAAGCGCCUGCCUUGCAAGCAGGCAAUUGUGAGUUCGAUCCCAACGUUAGCCA